GAAAUGCGAUAAGUAAUGUGAAUUACAGAAUUCAGUGAAUCAUCGAAUCUUUGAACGCACCUUGCGCUCCUUGGUAUUCCGAGGAGCAUGCCUGUUUGAGUGUCAUGGAAUUCUCAACUCUAUUUGCUUUUGUGAAUAGAGCUUGGAUUUGGAGGUUUAUUGCUGGUACUUGUGAUCGGCUCCUCUUGAAUGCAUUAGCUCGAACCUUUGCGGAUCAGCUAUCGGUGUGAUAAUUGUCUACGCCGUUGCAGUGAAGCAUAUCAAUGGGCUCGGCUUCCAAUCGUCCUUUACUGGACAAUGACUUUGACCUUUGACCUCAAAUCAGGUAGGAUUACCCGCUGAACUUAAGC
rnacentral:misc_RNA from 1 species